rnacentral:lncRNA from 1 species
CCGUCGGAUCCAAGGCAUCCGGAGCUCAUGUCAGAAAGGAGACACGGAUACAGGGGAGGACAUAAAGGGGGAAAGAGGGGAGGUGCGAUGACACGAGGUCGGACGGGCGGCGGCUUGCUGCUGCAGACGGCAGCGCGGUGCAGUGUGCAGACACAACGGUGGUCAGCCACAACGGUACGGCUUUAUCCGUAGAUCUGCAAGGAUAGCCCUCGGCGGUGACAGCGAGCACUUCAUGGUCGCGGAGCUCGGGGACGUCCACCUGGAUGCACUCGCCGGUGGAGGUGUUGAGGAAGGAGUGGCGGCUGGGCGUGGUGUGUUCCUCCCGGAGCAUCGUCCACCGUCAGGGGUGGAACCGGCGGUCCAUCACGCCGUGUGCGUG